AGUAAAAAUAUUACUGAUAAAAAGGUGCCUAUCUAACAGCGGCGUAACUAUGCCAUUUGAGGCCAGUGGCGAAUUUAUUGGUGGUUUAAACGUUACAUUACUUCUGAGCAUCGGAGGAAUUAGUGAAUCACUAUGAUCUCUGCCUCUCGAGCCGUUGGCUUGUGUCCGCAGUGUUCUGCCAGCCCGGCCCCGAGCCACCCCACAGUUGCGCCACCGCGGAGCUACACGAGCGCCAGCGUGUGAGCGUGACGUGUGGUCGCGCAGUACGCGCGGCGUCGCCGUCCAGCGGCGCUUCGAGGCGCGCUCCGCCCCGCAGGCCGCCGAGGACACGCGAUAGUGUUGUGUGCGGGCGGCCGUCGCGGCGCGCCCAGUCCGUGCGCGGCGCCCGACCCGUCGCCUCGCUCCCGCACGCCGAGUGCUCUCCCGUACCAGUGCCCAGUGCCCAGUGCCGACCUGCACAUGCCCAGCGACGGUCACGCGGACGGCGGCGGCGCGCGCGCGUGGCUGCGCCGCUGGUGGCGCGCGCUGGUGAGCGAGCUGCUGGCCACGGCGCUGCUGGUGCUGCUGGGGCUGGCGUCGCUGCUGGCGAGCGAGGCCCCGCUCACCGCGCCGGCCUUCGCCUUCGGGUUCGCCGUGCUGGUCAACGUGGAGGCGUUCGGGCCCGCGUCCGGCGCGCACAUGAACCCCGCCGUGACGCUGGCGGCGCUGCUGUCGGGCCGCCUGGCCGCGCCCGCCGCCGCCGCCUACGCGCUGGCGCAGCUGGCGGGCGCGCUGCUGGGCUGCGGCGCGCUCAAGCUGCUGUCGCCGCGGUUCACGGGCGUGGCCGGCGUCACGCUGCCGGGCUCGGUGGGCGCGCCGGCCGCGGCGCUGGUGGAGGCGGCGCUCACGGGCGCGCUGGCGCUGCUGUGCUGCGCGCUGUGGGCGGCGCACGACGCCGCGCGCCCCGACCCCGCCGCGUCCGUCAAGUUCGGACUGGCGGUCGCCGGCCUGGUGUACGCGGGCGGGCCGAUGACGGGCGCCAGCCUCAACCCGGCGCGCAGCUUCGCGCCCGCGCUGCUGCAGAACGCGUUCAAGGACCACUGGGUGUACUGGGUGGGCCCGCUGGGCGGCGCGGCGGCGGCGGCGCUGCUGCACCGCUUCGUGCUGCUGCCGCCGCGCGCGCCGGCGCCGCGCCGCGAGGAGCUGCCGCUGCACGACAAGCCCGACCACUGAGCGACUGUCGCGCGACUGUCGCACGGGCGCGCGCCGGCGGUCGUGCGGCGAGGAGCUGCCGCUGCACGACAAGCCCGACCACUGAGCGACUGUCGCACGGGCGCGCUGGCGGUCGUGCGCCGAUCUGUUGCUAAGCAUCUAAUUAUUUCCAAAAAAUCAUAAUUUGAGACAAAAAUGGCUAAACAGCAUUAACAGGCCUAAUUUCAAGGCAUCACGAUACAGCUGCAUAUGUAGUGAUCAUUUUAAGAAGGAUGCUUUCCGCGCCUCAAAGACAAUGCCUGUCCAUCUAUCCCGAAUUUAUCACCUGAGCAACAAGUAAGAUAACCCUUGCAAAAAGUGAAUCUUAAUCUGUUAUCAGAGAGUCAUGACAAUGCUGUUUCCCAAAAUGGAAUACAAGUAUUGUAUUGUUUUGUCAAAACAUACUUAAAAACUAAAUUUUCUUGUAAUAACGUCUCAAAAAAUAUGAAAAAAAAA
rnacentral:misc_RNA from 1 species